rnacentral:lncRNA from 1 species
CCUUUUCAAAAGAACAAAGAAAUUACAGUGACUGGAAAGUAAUGGUUCAUUCAUAAUUCAGAAAGGGAAAAAAGACAUGAACUGAUGAGAAUAUAAAGUUGGAGUUUGGAUCCCCAUGUGUUGGGGAGAUAUGGAAGAGCACAACAAAGAAAUUAAUUAAAUAAAAAGUAAUUAUUAUGAGCCAAGGACCAGACUUGCCGGGACGUUACAUCUUUUCCUUCUUUUUUCCUCUUCAUCCCCUUUACUUUGGUUGCCUUUUAUGCCCAUGUCUCUCUGAUGAGCUUGAGCAGUAGUACUUCGCCAUUGCAGCUGAAAGUUCAGGCAUAUAGGAUAUACUGGAGCAUAGUAGAAUUCUCGGUCUAACCUUCUUUCUUUUCAUGGAAGCUGAAGAUGAUGAGUCUUUGAAGUACAUGAUUCUACAGAUGAAGUUGAUCGAGUUCUUCUGCUGAUCAACUAUCUAAGUUGGCAUGACCCUCUCUUCCUCUUCCUCUUUCGGUGUUUGCUUGGCAACAAAACGUUCUUGGUACUUUAUAUUUGUGUUCUUAGUGGUAAGUGUGGAAUUGUUGGCUAGCUGUAUAUUGGUGGGGUUAGAGAGGGAGAGAGAGAGAGAGGAGGAGAGAGAUAGCAGAGGGGGUGGGGGUAAGAAUUUCUUUAGUUUGGU